GCCGACAGGGGAGAGCGGGGGAUGGGGGCGUUAAGAGCGCAGCCUGACGAAAGUUGUAUGGAGUUCUGUAACGGGUUCAGGCCCUCCACAGAGGAUGUGGCCUUCGCCCCUGAGGAGAACGGUUGUGCAGGUUUUACAGCUCUUUAAAAGAUUGCACAGGACCAGACAACAAGUUUUUAAAAAUGAUACCAGAGCAUUAGAAGCAGCCAGAAUAAAAAUAAAUGAAGAAUUCAAAAGUAAUAAAAAUGAAGCUUCCUCUAAGAAAAUAGAAGAGCUAAUAAAAAUAGGUUCUGAUGUGGAAUUGUUGCUCAGAACAUCUGUUGUACAAGGUAUUCACACAGACCACAAUACACUGAGAAUUGGCUCAUGCUGUUUAUGGAGGCCAAGAAGUUCCACCAUCUGCCAUAUCCAAGCUGGAGAACCAGGAAAGCCUGUGGUGUAAUUCAGCUCCAGUCUGAAGGCCUGCGAGUGAGAGUGUGGGUUGGGGAGCUUGGUGGUGUCAGUCCUGCUCUCUGUCUGAAAGCCCCAGGACUGAAAGCACCAAUGUCUGAGGACAAAAAUGGAUGUCUCAACUCAAACCGAAGGCAAAUUGACCUUUCUUCCACCUUUUUGUUGCAUUCAGGCCCUCAGUGGAUUAGAUGAUGCCCAUUGGUAAGGGAGAUAGAUGAACACAAAUAGUCAUCUAUGAUAAUAGCCCAUUUGGGGGGAGUUUUGUUUUAUGUAGAAAAUUGCAUUUUUAUUUGAUUUAUAAUAUUGAUAAGAAAACAGAGUGUUUGUCAGAUCAAUGAAAAGUCAGCUUUCCAAGUUGGCAUCUGUGCCCGCCCCCUCAGAAAUCCUCCCCCACUACUCAUGCCCCAGGUAUAUUUAGGGAAGAUAAAGAAGGGAGCAAUUUUUCUGAUGGUUGUUGACAUUCAAUUGAAGAUGCUCCAAAUUAGAUGAGGACAGAGGAAAGAAAGAAUCAUAUGUUACUGUCAAUUGGGUUCCAUUUAGAAUUAGAAAGGAAGAAGAAAGAAACAAUUUCCUAUUAUAAGUAAAUGGACAGGGUAAUGAUGAGUCAAUUAGAUUAGCUAAGAAAUGAUGCUAUGGAAGGAGAGAAAAUAAUCUACUAUUUUUGAAAAAUGGGUGGGGUGACAAUUAUUUAAUUCUGUUAGUGAAGAAACGAGUCAGUGCUUAUUAUACCUUUUAGGGGAAGAGGUCUGAAGACUUGAAUCUAGGACAAAUCUGGAAGCUUGGCAGCAAGCAAAGAAACUAAGACUGGAUCAGAGGUGGGAUGAAGGUAAAAAAUGAUGUUGUCAUCUGUAUCUGCCUUUCUGAGGGGAUCGCUGGACGUGGUAUUGAGAAGACAGGGUUCUGUGUCCCUGCCAGUGCACAUGUCACACCGAAAUCUGCUGAGAUAAAACAGCCAGACAAGGACAAGAUAGUGUGUCAUCUGAGGCCAAAAUAGGAUUGUGGGGUCCUCAUCUGCGAUAGACACGCACCAGAAAUGUAAAGGCAAGUGCAGUGAUAUGUGAGUCCUCAGCUCCAUUCAUUUUGUUGGUUUUAAAUUUCAUUUAUCAAUAUCUCUGGUUUCUUUAAUUCAGGUCAUUAUCAAAUAAUGUAAAUAAUAACUAACAUAUUAAUAACUUAUAAUGUGCAGACACUGUUGUUAAAUAGUUAAAAUGUGUCAGUUUCAAGUAGGGACAAUUAUUGUUCCUUUACAGAUGAGGAAACGGAAGCCCAGAGAGGCUAGAUAACCUGACCCUGCAUACAACCUAGGCUCAUAGAGGCAGCAGCCUGUGUUGUCACCUACUCCAGACUCCUCUAUCUCGGGACGAGGGACUUUUGGGUUGCUAAGAACUGAACUCCUAAUUUUCUGUGCACACUAAAUAGAAAAACUUAGCUACUCUUUCUUAUGAAUUCAAACAAUUUCUGGGAGAAGUCAUACAUGUGAGCAUUAUGUAAUGAUGAGUCAACUGUUUGAAAGGUUUGGGAGUGAUACACUGCUAAUAUUGCUAAUUGUCUUAUCACUAAAGUUAUAACCUUACACAAUGUUUAUUGUAAAUAUUCUUCAGGGAGAGUUUGGUUAUUUAAGUGAUUUCUGACUUUGUGUAUACAUUCAAGUCAAGGGUGACUUGCCAUGUUCUUUUCAAUACUAAUACUUAACAAUAAAAUAUUAAAUUCACACAAUUCACCUACAUUCCUCCUUUUUAAUUUAUUGAUUUUAGUGAUGGGGGCGGUAAGAGGGAGAGAGAGAGAAACAUCAA